GACGAACGCUGGCGGCGUGCCUAAUACAUGCAAGUCGAGCGAAGCGGCGGAUGGGUGAGUAACGCGUGGGUAACCUGCCCUUAAGUCUGGGAUACCAUUUGGAAACAGAUGCUAAUACCGGAUACUAAAGGAUGGACCUGCGAUGGAUUAGCUAGUUGGUAAGGUAACGGCUUACCAAGGCGAUGAUGCAAUGGCGGAGUGGGGGACUGGACGGGCAAAGUUGGAACGGUAAAACGACCAAACGCCAGCGGGAGGAAGACGGGGGGAAAUUUUCCAAAUGGGAGGAAGUUUGGAGGGGCAACGGCGGGUGGGUAAAGAGGUUGUUCGGAGGGAAAAUCUGUUUUGUUGGUAAAACGGUAAUCAACCAGAAAUUCCCGGAUAACUACGCGCCAGCCGCGGCGUUAAUUC
rnacentral:rRNA from 1 species